GGAGUUAUGGCUCAGCGGUAGAGUGCUCAUCUAGCACAUGUGAGGCCCUGGGUUCAAUCCUCAGCACCA
rnacentral:tRNA from 1 species